GAUGAAACCCUCGAGCGUAACUCCUUUCUUAGGAAGAAUCUGACGGUACUAAGGAAUAAGCACGGCUAACUCGUGCAGCAGCGCGGUAAUACGGAGGGUGCAAGCGUUACUCGGAAUCACUGGGCGUAAAGGGCGCGUAGGCGGAUUAUCAAGUCUCUUGUGAAAUCUAAUGGCUUAACCAUUAAACUGCUUGGGAAAACUGAUAGUCUAGAGUGAAGGGAGAGGCAGAUGGAAAUUGGUGGUGUAGGGGUAAAAAUCCGUAGAUAUCACCAAAGAAUACCCAUUGCGAAGGCCGAUCCUGCUGGAACUCAACUGACGCCUAAGGCGCGAAAGCGUGGGGAGCAAACAGGAUUAGAUACCCUGGUAGUCCACGCCCUAAACGAUGUACACUAGUUGUUGGGGUGCUAGUCAUCUCAGUAAUGCAGCUAACGCAUUAAGUGUACCGCCUGGGGAGUACGGUCGCAAGAUUAAAACUCAAAGGAAUAGACGGGGAACCGCACAAGCGGUGGAGCAUGUGGUUUAAUUCGAAGAUACGCGAAGAACCUUACCUGGGCUUGAUAUCCUAAGAACCUUUUAGAGAUAAGAGGGUGCUAGCUUGCUAGAACUUAGAGACAGGUGCUGCACGGCUGUCGUCAGCUCGUGUCGUGAGAUGUUGGGUUAA
rnacentral:rRNA from 1 species